GCUACGGUGGACUGAGUGGUAAGGCGUGGGACUGCAAAUCCCGCUGGCGAAAGCCUAUCGUGGGUUCGAUUCCCACUCGUAGCU
rnacentral:tRNA from 1 species